AGGUGGAUAUGUACCAGCCCCACUGACUCCUCAACAAGCCAAAGCAGCCAAGUACGGCCAAUUGCAGAGCUUCCUUGGUGGUGCAGGAGGAGGAGCAGGAGGAGGAGGAGGAGUCUAUAGAGGUGGAGUUGCAGGAUGCCGGGGCAAAUUCUGUGGCAGGAGGAAGUAGAGGAUCUCUUGAGAUCCAGCGUGACCUCAAGACACCAUGGUGCUACUGCAUGAUCUAGAAUGUACAUUUUAUAUGCAAACAAACCCCGUUAGAAAACAUGUAAAGAUGUUUGGUUUUUUUACUUACUUGACUUCAUCGCCUGUUUUUAUACAAACCCACCGACCCAGAAUUUUGUACACGCUCCGGUGUGACGUAUGUUAGUUGCAGCUUUAACUCCCCGUACUGCACCAGCCCACUUAGAAUACAAAGAGUGUGUGUAUGUGUCACAGUGUGUUGUUGUUGUUGUGCAUGAAUGUGCGUGUGUUUCGUGUAUGGUUGUACUGUUGUGCGAAAGACUGACUGAACCAUCGACUGUCAAUGUGACCUAUGAAUGAUUUCUCUUUCCACUGAGGUGAACUGUCCUCAGUGUCACAGCCCACACUGUCGCACCUCGCUGUGCAGAGCUUGUCAUCUCUCUGACAUGUCAGAGGGGUUGGGUUGGUCGAGGCUCGUCCGAAAACUGAGGAAAUCUGGCCAAUCUCAGUGUCGUCUCUUGCUCCCCGUUUUCUCUGCUGCUAUUCUUAGGCCUGCUGGGUAUAAAGCAGCGGGAAUUGGGGCUCUGGCCAACCCAUCUGCUCUCAGUAACUUUGCUGAUUCUAGUUGCUAUGCAGUUCAGUUUUCUCUGCAUUUUUAAUGUUGCCAAACUUGUGAUGUAUGAAGAGCAGUUUCUGCUCUGAGGAACGACAUGCUGAAGAUGUUACACGAUGUUUAAAAAACAUGGGAAAGCCUUCCAAGUAUAGAUUAAUACGUAACUCGGAUACUACUCUGGCAUUUACAUUAUGUAUGUGUGAAUGUUUCAUGAUGUCUCUUGAAUAGAGCGCCGUAGUCUGCUUCAAAUGUUUAGUCUCAUUGCAGCAGUUAUUUACAUUUAUGUAACUUGUCAUUACAUGAUUAUUCAAGAUUGUUUGCACCAUUCUUUGACUCAUAGCUUUAUUGUUAUCAGGAAUGUGUGAACAUCCUUUGCUUUUGCAUUUAUUCAGUGUUUAGAAUUGUAAUACAGAAUAAGACUUUGUUUAAUGGGAGAGACAAAGUGUUAAUGUGAGGCAUGAGCACCCAUUGUUCUUCAUUUACUUGAGCUGCUUUUAAAAAGGCCAAACUGACCAAAGGUGCAUGAGCGCUGUUGCCAAGUGACCCCAUCUCUCUCUGUAAUUGUGUACUGUAUUUUGUACUAAUUUGAUAAACGCUGGCUUCGGUUCCUUCACUCGGUGCUGUGUAAGAAAUGUCUUUGAGCCUCGCUGGGUCAGACCUUGUCUUAUGUGCCAAGGGAUACCCUUCAUCUUUAUUUAAAGCUGUUUUUAUAAGGAGGAACAGUGUGGUUUUGCACUUUUUAUAUUUCCACGACACACAUGUGACUUGUUCCUGGAAUCCAGCAUUUAUUUGCUUCAUUAAAUAACAAAAUACAAUGUGUUAAAA